rnacentral:SRP_RNA from 1 species
GCUGAGGGUGCAGUGGCGUGCGCCUGUAAUCCAAGCUGCUGGGAGGCUGAGGCUGGCGGAUCGCUUGAGUUCAGGGGUUCUGGGCUGCAGUGGACUAUGUUGAUCGGGUGUCCGCACUAAGUUCGGUAUCGAUAUGGUGUUCCUGGGGGAGCUCGGGACCACCAGGUCGUCUAAGGAGGGGUGAACCGGCCCAGGUCGGAGACGGAGCAGGUCAAAGCCCCCGUGUCGAUCAGUAGUGGGAUCGCGCCUGUGAAUAGACACUGCAGCGCAGCCUGAGCGAGACAGCGAGACCCAGACUUU